GACGAACGCUGGCGGCGUGCUUAACACAUGCAAGUCGAACGAGAGGCGAACGGGUGAGUAAUACGUGAGUAACCUGCCCUAUGUUUGGGAUAGGCCUUGGAAACGGGGUCUAAUACCGGAUAAAGGGGGAUGGGGUAGCGGCCUAUCAGCUUGUUGGUGGGGUGAUGGCCUACCAAGGGGGUGACGGGUAGCCGGCCUGAGAGGGUGACAGGCCACUGUGGCACUGCGAUACGGCCCAGCCUCCUACGGGAGUCAGCAGUGGGGGAUAUUGCACAAUGGGCGAAAGCCUGAUGCAGCGACUCCGCGUGGGGGAUGAAGGCUUUCGGGUUGUAAACCUCUCUCGCUAUAGAACGGGUAGGUGGAGAAGAAGCGCCGGCUAACUACGUGCCAGCAGCCGCGGUAAUAC
rnacentral:rRNA from 1 species